CCCAGACUCCUACGGGAGGCAGCAGUGAGGAAUAUUGGUCAAUGGCCGGAAGGCUGAACCAGCCAAGUCGCGUGAGGGAAUAAGGCCCUAUGGGUCGUAAACCUCUUUUGUCAGGGAGCAAAGGCGUCCACGAGUGGACGAAAGGAGAGUACCUGAAGAAAAAGCAUCGGCUAACUCCGUGCCAGCAGCCGCGGUAAUACGGAGGAUGCGAGCGUUAUCCGGAUUUAUUGGGUUUAGAGGGUGCGUAGGCGGAGUGUCAAGUCAGCGGUAAAAUUUCGGGGCUCAACCCCGUCGUGCCGUUGAAACUGGCGGCCUCGAGUGGGCGAGAAGUAUGCGGAAUGCGUGGUGUAGCGGUGAAAUGCAUAGAUAUCACGCAGAACUCCGAUUGCGAAGGCAGCAUACCGGCGCGCAACUGACGCUCAUGCACGAAAGCGUGGGUAUCGAACAGGAUUAGAUACCCUAGUA
rnacentral:rRNA from 1 species